rnacentral:rRNA from 14 species
GGGCGCGUGAGGACAUUGCGAGAAAUCAUUGAGUAUUUGAGUUCCGGGGGGAGUAUGGUUGCAAGACUGAAACUUAAAGGAAUUGACGGAGGGGCACCACAAGGCGUGGAGCUUGCGGCUUAAUUUGACCCAACACGGAGAAACUUACCAGACCAAGACAUCAUUGAGGAUUGACAGACGAGGAGGUUUUUCGAGAUAGGAUGGGAGGUGGUGCAUGGCCGUUCUUAGUUGGUGGAGUGAUUUGUCAGGUUAAUUCCGAUAACGAACGAGAUUUUAGUGGAAGAGACGUCUUGUCUUUCUUUGUUGAAAGAGAAGAUGGUUAUUUCAGAUGGAUAGGAAAAUAAACUAUAGGAAGAUUAAAGUGAUAACAGGUCUGUGAUGCCCUUAGAUGGUUUGGGCUGCACGCGUGCUACAAUGAUAGAGACAGAGAUCCACUCUUUUUGUAAUAGAAAGGAGAUUGACGCAUCGAAGGAUGGGUUGAAAGGAUGGAGAAUCUAUUCAUGUUAGGGGAUUAACGAUUGGAAUUAUUCGUUAUGAACACGGAAUGCCUAGUAAGUAUAAGUCAACAGGUUAUAUUGAUUAGGUCCCUGCCUCUUGUACACACCGCCCGUCGCUGCUACCGAUUGAAUAGUAAAUGUGAAAUGGGAGGACUCGGCCAAGUCGUUCGUUUGUUUGAUUUGGAAGAGGAAAACUAUUGAAUGUUUAUAUUUAGAGGAAGCAAAAGUCGUAACAAGGUUUCCGUAGGUGAACCUGCGGAAGGAUCAAU